rnacentral:rRNA from 1 species
GACGAACGCUGGCGGCGUGCUUAACACAUGCAAGUCGAACGGAAAGGCCCUGCUUUUGUGGGGUGCUCGAGGGGCGAACGGGUGAGUAACACGUGUGUAACCUGCUCUUCUUUUUGGUAUAACUUCAGGAAACUGGGGCUAAUCCCAUAUAGGAGCCCCCGCUCCAUUGUGGGGGUUGGAUAUUUUCGGCGGGUGGGGGUGGACUCGCGGCUUAUGAGUUUGUUGGUGGGGGGGUGGUUUACCAACGCUUUGACGGGUACCCGGCCUGAGGGGGUGGCCGGCCACAUUGGGACUGAGAUACGGCCCAGACUCCUACGGUAGGCAGCAGGGGGAAAUAUGGCACAAUGGGCGGAAGCCGGAUGCAGCAACGCCGCGUUCGGAAUGACGGCCUUCGGGUUGUAAACCGCUUUCGCCUGUGACGAAGCUUGUGUGACGGUAAUGGGUAAAGAAGCACCGGCUAACUACGUG